CAAUCAUCCUUUACCCUUCAAAGAUUUUGAAACUUGUGGAGGCUUAUGUUGAGAAAUAUGCAAAUCCUAGGCCUUUGCGUGACUGAAGCUUCUUAGUAGGAAUACGUUGGAGCAAACCCAGAAGUACAUAUAGUGCAGACAUUAAUGCCAGUUUCUCUCAUAGGAUGCUUCUGUCCAGCCUGUAGAUUUUGAAGACUGUAGGCUAUUUAACAUUUUUCAUCGAAGUAGCAAGAACUGUAUGCUAAUUCCAUUCACAGUUUAUAACUUUCAUCAUCCUUUAUUAUAAAAUUACUGUGGAAAAAGUUCACGUCCAUCUUCAAGAACUUGAUGAGAGUAUUACAGCACAGAAGCAAGUCAAUGAGGCUCUAGGCAACUGAGGAUCCGGCCGCACUCCACUAAACUGGGAAUCACACUCCGCCAUUGCCCUCGCUGCCGCCAAGGGCAUCGCAUUCACUCUGAGAAUGAAUUUUUUGACUCAAAUUUGGAGAUGGGUCAGUUAAAUAUUUUGUAAACUGUAAUUGCAUUUUUUGUAAAUUUGGAGAUGGG